UGGCGAGUGGCGAACGGGUGAGUAACAUAUCGGAACGUACCGGGUAGCGGGGGAUAACUGAUCGAAAGAUCAGCUAAUACCGCAUACGUCUUGAGAGGGAAAGCAGGGGACCUUCGGGCCUUGCGCUAUCCGAGCGGCCGAUAUCUGAUUAGCUGGUUGGCGGGGUAAAGGCCCACCAAGGCGACGAUCAGUAGCGGGUCUGAGAGGAUGAUCCGCCACACUGGGACUGAGACACGGCCCAGACUCCUACGGGAGGCAGCAGUGGGGAAUUUUGGACAAUGGGCGCAAGCCUGAUCCAGCCAUGCCGCGUGUCUGAAGAAGGCCUUCGGGUUGUAAAGGACUUUUGUCAGGGAAGAAAAGGCCGUUGCCAAUAUCGGCGGCCGAUGACGGUACCUGAAGAAUAAGCACCGGCUAACUACGUGCCAGCAGCCGCGGUAAUACGUAGGGUGCGAGCGUUAAUCGGAAUUACUGGGCGUAAAGCGGGCGCAGACGGUUACUUAAGCAGGAUGUGAAAUCCCCGGGCUCAACCCGGGAACUGCGUUCUGAACUGGGUGACUCGAGUGUGUCAGAGGGAGGUGGAAUUCCACGUGUAGCAGUGAAAUGCGUAGAGAUGUGGAGGAAUACCGAUGGCGAAGGCAGCCUCCUGGGAUAACACUGACGUUCAUGUCCGAAAGCGUGGGUAGCAAACAGGAUUAGAUACCCUGGUAGUCCACGCCCUAAACGAUGUCAAUUAGCUGUUGGGCAACUUGAUUGCUUGGUAGCGUAGCUAACGCGUGAAAUUGACCGCCUGGGGAGUACGGUCGCAAGAUUAAAACUCAAAGGAAUUGACGGGGACCCGCACAAGCGGUGGAUGAUGUGGAUUAAUUCGAUGCAACGCGAAGAACCUUACCUGGUUUUGACAUGUGCGGAAUCCUCCGGAGACGGAGGAGUGCCUUCGGGAGCCGUAACACAGGUGCUGCAUGGCUGUCGUCAGCUCGUGUCGUGAGAUGUUGGGUUAAGUCCCGCAACGAGCGCAACCCUUGUCAUUAGUUGCCAUCAUUCGGUUGGGCACUCUAAUGAGACUGCCGGUGACAAGCCGGAGGAAGGUGGGGAUGACGUCAAGUCCUCAUGGCCCUUAUGACCAGGGCUUCACACGUCAUACAAUGGUCGGUACAGAGGGUAGCCAAGCCGCGAGGCGGAGCCAAUCUCACAAAACCGAUCGUAGUCCGGAUUGCACUCUGCAACUCGAGUGCAUGAAGUCGGAAUCGCUAGUAAUCGCAGGUCAGCAUACUGCGGUGAAUACGUUCCCGGGUCUUGUACACACCGCCCGUCACACCAUGGGAGUGGGGGAUACCAGAAGUAGGUAGGGUAACCGCAAGGAGCCC
rnacentral:rRNA from 1 species